AUUGAACGCUGGCGGCAUGCUUUACACAUGCAAGUCGAACGGCAGCGCGGGCUUCGGCCUGGCGGCGAGUGGCGAACGGGUGAGUAAUACAUCGGAACGUGCCCAGUAGUGGGGGAUAGCUCGGCGAAAGCCGGAUUAAUACCGCAUACGACCUGAGGGUGAAAGCGGGGGAUCUUCGGACCUCGCGCUAUUGGAGCGGCCGAUGGCAGAUUAGCUAGUUGGUGGGGUAAAGGCCUACCAAGGCGACGAUCUGUAGCCGGUCUGAGAGGACGACCAGCCACACUGGGACUGAGACACGGCCCAGACUCCUACGGGAGGCAGCAGUGGGGAAUUUUGGACAAUGGGCGAAAGCCUGAUCCAGCAAUGCCGCGUGUGUGAUGAAGGCCUUCGGGUUGUAAAGCACUUUUGGCGGGAACGAAAAGGACCGUGCCAAUACCACGGUUCGAUGACGGUACCCGCAGAAUAAGCACCGGCUAACUACGUG
rnacentral:rRNA from 1 species